UGUGCCUAUGAUGAUUACCUGGCUCCCUCUACUGAGUUUGUUCAUGAGGACGACUGCCAUAACCGUUACCCAUUUCCACUGAGGCACA